rnacentral:misc_RNA from 1 species
GAACUGCGAUAAGUAAUGUGAAUUGCAGAAUUCAGUGAAUCAUCGAGUCUUUGAACGCACAUUGCGCCCCCUGGUAUUCCGGGGGGCAUGCCUGUCCGAGCGUCAUUGCUACCCUCAAGCGCGGCUUGUGUAUUGGGCCGCCGUCCCCCCCAACUUCGGGGGGGACGGGCCCGAAAGGCAGCGGCGGCACCGCGUCCGACCCUCGAGCGUAUGGGGCUCUGUCACCCGCUCUGUAGGAUCGGCCGGCGCCAGCCUACCAACCUCUUUUACCAGGUUGACCUCGGAUCAGGUAGGGAUACCCGCUGAACUUAA